CAAGAGACAUGCUCUUAACCCUGGUUGAUGAACCAUAAAAAAACCAAGUGUCAUUAGCUCAAUUGGUAAAGACCCUAAGCGAAGUUUUGAGGUCGCCGGUUCGAGUGACGUUUGGAACGAAAUUAAUAUUACAUGUUGUGGUUUCGAGCUUAGAGAAAUUACGGGAUUCGGUCCAGAACCUCCUGGUAUUCAAAAAAAAAGAAAUCCAAGUGAACUGAAAAUCCGCUGACACCAAAAAGUCAAUGGGAACAUCUCCUUAAAUGGAGAUGAAAGAGAUCUCUGCAAAGAGAUUCAGGACCACUUUUAGCGCAAAGCAGAUAAUCACAAAGCAUUACCUUUCUUGGAGUAAUACAAA
rnacentral:sRNA from 1 species